rnacentral:rRNA from 1 species
CAGCCGCCGCGGGAAUACGUAGGGUGCGAGCGUUAAUCGGAAUUACUGGGCGUAAAGCGUGCGCAGGCGGUUGUGUAAGACAGGUGUGAAAUCCCCGGGCUUAACCUGGGAACUGCGCUUGUGACUGCACAGCUAGAGUAUGGCAGAGGGGGGUGGAAUUCCACGUGUAGCAGUGAAAUGCGUAGAGAUGUGGAGGAACACCGAUGGCGAAGGCAGCCCCCUGAGCCAAUACUGACGCUCAUGCACGAAAGCGUGGGGAGCAAACAGGAUUAGAUACCCGUGUAGUCCCUGUCUCUUAUAC